rnacentral:misc_RNA from 1 species
GUUAAGGGCCUUUAGGACGACAUCACGACUUGGAUACAGAAGAAUAAGGAAGAUGCUGAAAUCACGACACUGGAAAGUGGCUCCCAAGUUGAAGGAAUAUGAGCGAUCUUACACAAAUGGUGGAAUGGAGUCCUUUUACCUCAGUAGGAAAAGUGUACGUGCACGCAAGAGAUGCCAACUUGAAGUUCCUUCCAAGAGACGGAAAUUGAGCAACCAUGGCUUUGCUGUUGCAUAUUACCAGGAGGCCAGUAGCGAAAGCGUUACAAAUUCACCUGACAAGGAAAUCAAACGAGACAUUAGUACCUCGCAUGCCAUCCCGCCGAGAGGAACUGCUGAUCCAGCUUCAGUUAACAAUCAUCACAAGAAGGACCCUAAUGUUAAAUUUAGCAUCAAGUCUUUCAAGGUGCCAGAGCUUUACAUAGAGGUUCCUGAAACUGCAACAGUUGGCUCUCUGAAGAGAACGGUUAUGGAGGCAGUUACAGCUAUAUUGGAAAGUGGAUUACGGGUUGGGGUGGUUCUCCAGGGAAAGAAGGUCAGAGAUGACAAUAGAACUCUGGAGCAGGCUGGCAUUUCCCAGAAUGGCAACCUCGAUAAUUUGGGUUUCACUUUGGAGCCUAGAUUCACCCAAGUUUCUCCAUCAUCAUCUCCUAAUAAACUUCCGGCUUCAUCAACAUAUGUUGCAGAUCAGGAACUAACAAGGCGGCGACCUAGUCCUAUAAUGGAAUUUGGGAUUCACAAUGCUUCAGCAGACCCUCUAGAGACUGAUAUGUGCAAGUACAGCGAGAAUAACCAUCCAUCAGAGCUAUCGCCUACAAAUCCUAUUGAUUCAUCAACCGAUGUAUCUAUUCCAGAUUCUAGAGCCUUGGUGAUAGUCCCUUCAGUUAAUGCAGAGGCACUUGCUAUGGUUCCGCUGAACCAUAAAAGUAAACGUUCUGAACUUUCACAACGUAGAAUACGGAGACCAUUCUCAGUUGCA